UACGUAGGAGACGAGCGUUGUCCGGAGUUACUGGGGCGUAAAGGGUGCGCAGGUGGCGGCGCGCGUGGGGGGUGAAAUCGCCCGGCUUAACUGGGCGGGGGCCUUCCAGACGGCGUGGCUUGAGCAGCGGAGGGGGGACGUGGAAAUUCCGGGUGGAGCGGUGAAAUGCGUAGAGAGUCCGGAGGAACACCGACGGCGCGAGGCAGCGUCCUGGCCGCUUGC
rnacentral:rRNA from 1 species